UCAGCCUAUGAUCUUCAGUUUGGUUCGAAAUCCGAACUAUUACAGUGAAACAACACGUUGCACUAAGAAAUCAGUUUCAGUUGAAAAGAAAACAGUUUUAGUUGAAAAGAAAUCAUCAUCAUGAAAUUUUUGAAAACGUUUGUUGCGAUUGUCGCUGCUUUAUUCGUAUUGGCAACGAUUGUGCAAGGCGCUUCUGUCUCAGAAGAAAAAUCCACAAUUGUUAAACGUGGAAUUUUCGAUUGUCCUCAUGAUUGCUGGGGAGAUGCUUCUAGAGCUCGGGCACGAUGCGGAAAUAACUAUCGCGAGAUAGGUCAUCCCACUUGCUGUGGAAAAUGCUAUUGUUGCUGAUUUUACACUGGUGUUGUAAAUAUGUACGAGUUUUCGUCAAGACUUGCCAUAAGAAUUGACUUUUCUAAUUAAAUGCUAACAAGUCAAAUUGUCCAUGACGAAGAUAAAAUAAAAUUGAAUCCACAUGAAA